rnacentral:rRNA from 1 species
AGUAAAUAGAUACCCCGGUAGUCCACGCCGUAAACGAUGUCGACUUGGAGGUUGUGCCCUUGAGGCGUGGCUUCCGGAGCUAAACGCGUUAAAGUCGACCGCCUGGGGAGUACGGCCGCAAGGUUAAAACUCAAAUGAAUUGACGGGGCCCGCACAAGCGGUGGAGCAUGUGGUUUAAUUCGAUGCAACGCGAAGAACCUUACCUACUCUUGACAUCCAGAGAACUUAGCAGAGAUGCUUUGGUGCCUUCGGGAACUCUGAGACAGGUGCUGCAUGGCUGUCGUCAGCUCGUGUUGUGAAAUGUUGGGUUAAGUCCCGCAACGAGCGCAACCCUUAUCCUUUGUUGCCAGCGGUUAGGCCGGGAACUCAAAGGAGACUGCCAGUGAUAAACUGGAGGAAGGUGGGGAUGACGUCAAGUCAUCAUGGCCCUUACGAGUAGGGCUACACACGUGCUACAAUGGCGCAUACAAAGAGAAGCGACCUCGCGAGAGCAAGCGGACCUCAUAAAGUGCGUCGUAGUCCGG